AUGUAUCUGUGGCGCUUGUCCAUCGCCCUGACCCUCGGCCUGCUGUGGUGCUUCUCGGACUGCGGCCGCACCGUCACUCAGUACGUCCUGUGCUUCCUCUUCUGUGUGUCGACUCCGUGGCUGCUGGGGAGCAGCGGGCGAGAGAGCGGCACUCAGACUGAAGAAGAGUCCCGGGACCACCAGGAAACCGCUGAGGGAGACCUGUUCGGAGGUUUGGCGGAUGGAGAAAGCAGCGAGCAGGCCCAACUGUCUCAGUAUUCGCACGUCAAGAGGUCUCUACGACAAGUGUUCGAGUGCAUCUAUUCCGGGCUGGUCUCGCCUUGGUACGUGGUUCCGGAGCCACGCGAGCAGCAGCCCCUGCACCAGGUGCUCCGCAGGGAAUUUGACUUUGUGAUAGACCGCAUCAUCGAGCGAGCCAAAGACUUUGAUAUUUGCCAGGCGGUCGUGGGCUCCAUUCGUAUUCUGACCCAGCACUUGCACAAUGCGAAGCAGUCUGACAGGGAGCUCUUGUUCAGCUCCGCUGCAGAUGAGGUCGCAGUUCUUCGAGAGUUUUCCGAUGCUCUUGUGCGUAACCUUUUUCCCAAAUCGUUCUGGGGCCAAGAAGUCAACCGCUGUGCCUUGAAUGAGAUUGUUGCCUUAAAGGGGUUGGGCCUGUUGGUGACGUGGCUGUCUGACCCCGACAACCUUAACCAGCUGGUGCUGAGCCAACUCGACAGAGCAUCUCCCAAAGACUCUGUGGAGGAUCUGUGCGGAUCAGACCCGGAACAAGACUCUUUGUCGUCGCAGGAGGACAAAGACGAGGGGGAGGUCAGGGAAGUGAACUUGGAGGGAGAAGAGAUUUCAAAUGGCACCAGCAUCAAGGGCAAAAGGAAAGGCAACAAGUUAAAGAAAGGCUGGUCCAAAUUUGUCGACAAGAUGAAGUCUAAGAAGGCCAAGAAGAAGAAGAUGAAAAUGAUGGAGCAGAAGCUGAUGAUGAGGAUCAUUGCGAGCCAGGAUAACGCGUCCAACGAGGACGAUGUCAGCAGCAGGGAGGGCUCAAUUUACAGCCAGCAGGACUCUGACAGGGAGGACAGUGAUCUGGAGAACUAUUUGACAACAGUCCAAGAGGACAUGAUGGAAUUCAAGCUGUCGUAUGAGAUGUGGCGCGUUGGCCGCUGGGCUGUCAGCAUCCCUCAUGCCGCCUGGGAGGAUGAGGAGCUCAUCUUCACCGUUCACCUGGAGGAGAACAACAGCCCGGAGAACCUACAGUGGGACAUCAGGAAGACCUACAUGGAUGUGAUAUAUUUUCGCAACAGAUGGCAGGACUCAACCACCCUGCCCACAAUCCUGGAACUGGAGCAGUCCGAGGUCAACAGUGGGGUUAAAGACGAGGCUAGAGUGUCAGUGGAGCACUUUCUGCAGGAAUUAGUCUCUGAUAAUUUGAUCGGCCACACUCAACCAGUUUUUCAGUUCCUCUGCCCGCUUGACAAACUGUUGAAUGAAGAGGAACACUAUGAAGGCGUGUGGGGCCUUCUCAGCGGCUUGGCCUACUUCCUGACUCCGGGUCAAGAGGAAGAAGAGACCUCUAGCCCUCGGACAGAAGCUCAAAAAGAAAUCACAUCGCCUUCGCCACACCCAGAAUCCUCAGCUCAGCCGUCAGAAAACCCCGGUGCCUCUACUCAGAAUGGCACCGAUGUUCCCGUUGCUACUCUCCCAACUAUCGUUAUCUCCCACUGUGAUCCUUCUUCAGAACUGCCAGAGGAGGCGGAAACGGAAAAGCAAACACAGUCUGCUGUUAACUCGGACGUGACAAGUAAUGAAAACUGUUCCCAAGACAAAACGGAGGACUCUGAUAUUCCCCUCACCGCUCACUUUAAAAUGAUUUUUAGAGGACUGACCCGAUCCAAGUCACAAGAGUCUCUGGCCUCAACAAAAAACAGCAGUGAUGAAGACCCGCCGGACUCAGACUCCUCGCCACACUGCAGCCAGAAUCAAAGCUCACCGGGGGAGAGUGCAGAAGGCCCGUCUUGGCUUAAUUUCAGCGUGAAGUCAAAUAAAAAGGAGAAGAUAUGUUUCAAGACGCCAGUUGGAGCGAACAAGGCCAAAGUGAAGGAGCAGGGCACUUCGCCUAGAGGGGAGGACUCUCAGGGUCAGAAGAGCCAAGGCAACUGGGAGCAGCUGGAGGCGACCAAAGCUAUUUUUGAUCUGCUGAAAGAAAUUUCUGGAAACUCCAUCCUCAUAAACAUAUUCGAUGCCAUUCUGAAACCUGUUAUGCCAAUCUUGAAAAAGAAAGUGAACUCUUUCUUAAACAAGUUGAACCCAACAGAGGCGGAGAUGGCUGCGUACAUCGACACUCUGCGAGACAAACAAUGGCCAGAGUGUCAACCAGCAGCGCCUCCUCCUCCUCCUUCUCGCACCGAUGAGGAGAAAACCAAGACCAGGGAGCGAGCACAUGACCUCAUCAAUGCCAGAUCUUCAAACUAUCUCAUCCUUAAGAAGACAGAUGUGGAGUCUGUCUUUAAUAUUUUCCAGGACUGUGAAGAAAACAAAAAACUGGUAUAUAUGCUACUGUCAUUCAUAUUAAGGAAAUUCUUUCCUCGCGAUCAUUCCCUCAAUCUCAGCGCUGCUGCCUUACUAAAAGCGACCAACUCUUCAAACUGAUCAGUGAAUCCUUGACAGCAUUUUAAUGGUACUUUUUGACAUUUUAAAAUAUCAACUUAUUUAUAUGUAUAUUUUUUUUUUAAUGACUUAAAAUAUUUCAGACCACUUCUGUAUAUCAAACAUCCUUUUUCUGAAUUUUUACCUCAAACCCAUACUGUGAAUUUUUCCUUUUGUUUUUGUACAUUGUUCACUUGUCAUUGGGAUGAAUCCCGUUUGGAAUUUCAAACCUUUAGUGUUUUCAGAGGAGAAAGUAAAUAUUUUUCAAAUUUAGUUUAAAUUUCACCCCUCACGUUUACUGUAAAAAAAAUUGCAAAUUUCUCAAAUAUUGUCACUUUGAGCACUACUGUAUGGUGAGAGUGUGUGAAUUUUGGAUGAUUUCACCUCAAGUUUUUAUAAAAAAUAUAAUAUCUCAUCAUUACAGUUUUGCAUAAAUCUGUCAAAACAUGGAUUGUACCAAAGGAAACUUGAAAUAAUGUUCAGAUAAAGAACUUGAAUUUAUUCCAAAUAAAAUGUUUUAAUAAAUGACUUUUUACAGUUAUAUUUGUGGCUUUGUGGAUUUUUAAUGGAGUUUAGACUGCACAGUAUUUGGUUUAGUAAAUAUAUUUUAAGAUGUAAAUUAGUUCAUUAGUUUAGUUAGUUAUCUUAUUU
rnacentral:lncRNA from 1 species